rnacentral:tRNA from 1 species
GCCUAGCUGGCUCAGUCAGGUGAGUGUGUGACUCGGGAUCUCAGGGUUGUAAGUUCGAGCCCCACGUUGGGUA